rnacentral:rRNA from 1 species
UACGGAGGAUCCAAGCGUUAUCCGGAUUUAUUGGGUUUAAAGGGUGCGCAGGCGGGAGAUUAAGUCGGUGGUGAAAUUUUGCAGCUCAACUGUAAAAGUGCCAUUGAUACUGGUUUUCUUGAGUGUAGAUGAAGUAGGCGGAAUUUGUGGUGUAGCGGUGAAAUGCAUAGAUAUCACGAGGAACUCCGAUUGCGCAGGCAGCUUACUAAACUACUACUGACGCUCAGGCACGAAGACGUGGGGAUCAAACAGGAUUAGAUA